UUUUUUUUUUUUUUUUUUUUGACGGAGUCUCACUCUGUCCCCCAGGCUGGAAUGCAGUGGCACGAUCUGGGCUCACUGUAAGCUCUGCCUCCCAGGUUCACUCCAUUCUCCUGCCUCAGCCUCCCGAAUAGCUGGGACUACAGGCGCCCGCCAUCACGCCCGGCUAAUUUUUUGUAUUUUUAGUAGAGACGGGGUUUCACCGUGUUAGCCAGGAUGGUCUUGAUCUCCUGAUCUCGUGAUCCGCCCGCCUUGGCCCCCAAAGUGCUGGGAUUACAGGCGUGAGCCACCGCGCCCGGCCAGUUGUAUCAUAGCUUAAAGUGCCUGACACAAAGGGUGUCCAAUCAGUGGUAGCUAUGAUGACGACAAAGAUGACGACGAGGAUGUUGCAGGGACUUGGUCAUUGCUUGUCUCAAAUUUCCUCAACAGGUGUAUCCAGUGUCUACCAACCCGGGAUGCCUCUAGUGAGGGGCAUCGCUGCCUUCCUGGCAACACUGCCAGACCAUCCUUUUGCUGAAAACUGCCUCCUGGAAGCCAUCCCCCCAUCUGGCCCACCCAACUCCCUGCUCAGGGUGACCCAGCUGGCCCAGCCUCUGGCCUCCGGCCCCGUUGUUAAAAGUCUGCAUGAGAGGUCUCAGAGAAGGCUGGAGGCUGGAUCCAGCUGCUGGACUUCUCCCUUUGCCAGAAGGGAAGGGAACCCCGGUGGCUUCCUAGGCAGGAGAUUCUCAGUGAGUCUUGUUCUCGCUGCUCAAAAUUCCUUUUCUGCACACUGAGAAGAAAUAAGUGGAAGAAAAAAUCCCUGUGUUGUCUAAACCUCCCCUCAUACCCCUGACACAGGAAUGGCUGGAGGCUGAAGAGGGAAUAUGAUGGCCCAGAGUGACAAGCCCAGGAAUCCUGGCAUUCUAGUUGACUCUGGUCCCACCUACUGCCAGGCACGCCCAUCUGUGUUUGUGGGCCCCAGGGUGAGUGCCUGUGGGUCUGGCAUCAAGGGGUCUGGUGAGGAAGGCAAGAGUCCAAGGCUUGGAGCCAAACAGUUUGGGCUCACACACUGGCACAGUCCCGCACUACAGUGUGACCUCUGGCAAAUCACUCUGCCUCUCUGAGCAUGUUCACCCUCCCGGCAUCCAUCCCAGAGUUGUGUUGUGGAGAACACAGGAGCUGUUACAUGUGAAGAGGAAAGCGCAGGACCUGGCACGUGCUGAGUAUCUAUAAAUGUUGCAGUGGGUAUUAUUAUAAAGCGCAAGUCCCUCAUUUCCCCGAGAUGCUCUCUGCAUCUGAGUGGGCCAGGGUGGCUGUGGGAGUGGGUUAUGUCAGGCAGGAUGACGUUCUGACCCACUUCUGGGUCAGCGGGCCAGGGCUUGAAGCUCCAUGCCGAUGCCUGCAUUUGCAAGGGUGUGCAUGUGUUUGGGAGGAGGAAAGGGUGUGCACUGGGUGUGCAUGUGUGCAAAGGUGUGCAUAUGCUUGUGUGCAUGCACCAAAGGCUGCCCCCAUCCCAGGCAUUCCCAGGGCAAAUGCAUACUUGCAGGUACCAGUGCAGUCUCCCUGUAGUGAUUCAGGAGGCCCUGCUGUUCACUGUUACUAUGGAAACAAUGAGGCAAUCCUCAGCCUCCAGGAGAUCCUAAGGUGCCAGGAAUGAGAGCUGGCCUGGUCUUCCCAGGGAGGGAGACAAAUUGGGAGCACAGGGUUCCUGGCAUAGGGCAACCUCGGCCUCUGGGGUGGGGUUCUGGAACUCUGGGUACCCCUGGACCCUCUGGGAAGUCUCCUCACUCCUCCAAGGAAGCCUGGCCCACUGGAAAGAGCUCAGAGGCAGAGCUAGGUUCUAGUUUGCCUCUGGCUCUAACCCCAUGCAUAGUCUCAGGGAGGUAACGGGUGCCAGCGGCAGUCUAGAGCUGGGGUGUGACCUUUCCUCUCACUAGGGCACCUGCCGGCAAGGCUGUGUGAAUGUGUAUCCUGGAGCCCGGAAGUGUCACGGAGCAGCCUCCUUCAUGUGCACUACCCUCCACAGUGUCUGAGCUCAGCAGUCUCAGGGGUUCUGCCAGCAGGAUCUUCAAGCCCAAACUUCUGUUUGGAGAAGGACCAUCUCAAGCAGCCCCAGCCUUCCUGGUCUCCCAACACCAGGGGUUGCCUAGAAGCCACGCGGAGCCCUGUGAGUACUGACAGCCAACAUUAGCUGGGCACUGACUGGGCGCAGGCGCUACGCCAAGCACCUCGCAGCUCCCUCCCUCUUAAUCCUCACAGCAGCCCUUCCAGUGCUAUUAUUAUUGUUUCCAUUUACAGACCAGGGAACCAACUGAAGCUUCCAGAGGUCAAGGGCCUUGUCCCGCUCCACCGUGGGGCGGGUAACGCUGCUGUGUGACCUGGGCCCCACAUAUAAAGUGAGGGACUUUGCUUGAGGGCCCCCAGAACCUCAUACCCCAUCCCUGACUUUGGGUCUGCAGUUCCAGCUCCCAGGACUUUCCCACCCCUUGCCCCAGCAUGCUGUUCCUCAGGGCCCAGCUCCCUUGAGAAUAGCCAGGCCCACCCCCUCCCCCUCCCGGGCUGUGCUCCUGGCAGCUCUGCCACCCUAGGCUCUGGUCCGGGGGUGGUCCCUGGCAGAGAGGGGGCCGGGCCGAAGAUGGGAUGCUGGGGCUGAGAUGCGGGGUAUUCAGAGACCCCCAGGCCCCCACCUCAGAGUCCACUGUGCUCUAGGCUGGGGUGGGCAGGGCCUUUUGGAAAGGGGUGGCUUGGGGUUUUAAUCACUUUUUCAAUGUUUGUUUGUGUAAUUCAGCCCCGAAAUGCUUUUCCCUCCAUCUGUCCCACCAUCUGCUCCCGUCAGGAUUUUCCAAACCGUUUGGGACCAAAGAGGCAACAAGAUGCUGGGAAAGUCCCCUCCCCUGGAACUUGCUCGCCCUUCCAUGGACCUGCUACUGCCUGGCUCUCUCAAUUACCUGCCUCUGCUUCUACCCCACCCCUGCCUCUCCCUCCUCCUGGGUGCCUCAGUCUGAGGUGGGAGGGACUAAGUAUCACCAGCAGGGACACCGCCCCACACACAAGAGGCUUCCAGGGUCAGGAGGCCUCAUCCAUUCAUGCUUACAUCACCCAUCUGAUCUCUCUGCUCAGAAAGGGGAAGAGACUUGCUCCAGGUUGUCCAGAGCGAGGGACCCAGGGCUGCUGCCUGGCUGCCUCUCGGCCCCCCUUUUCAUGGCCAUAUCUUAGGGCACUAGGGCUUGGACCAAGUGCCGUGUUGUGCAGUGUGGGGAGCCCUGAACCUUUUUUGGCUGUUGGGGGGUGGCCUUCCAAUGCUUCUUGGUCCCCCUGGAAGGUGCAGGUGGCUGAUGGGAAGUAGCAGCAGAAUCCACUAGGGUCCACACUCUGCCUCCAGAACCACCCUACACAGUCUAGGCACAGGGAAAGACAAAGGCAGGAGGGGGCUCGUGGGGAGGCGAGACAUGGCCUUGCCUUCCAAAACCCCUAUCUACCCGGGAGACAGAAUGUAGACUGGGGGUCCUGAAGGCAGGGCACCAGAGUCACCCUCAAAGAAGAAAGGUGGUUGGUGGUGGGGGUGCUGGUGGUGGGAAGAAGUCAGCCCCUGAGGGGGUGAGCCUACAGGAGACUGAGAUGGGAAAGUGGGGAGAAGGCAGAGAGGAAGCUGAGCAGCCCAAGAUGGGGAUAAAACGAGUCCCCCAAGGUUAAAGAGGAGGAUCCAGACCACUCAGGAGAGAGAGGAAGGGGUGAUUGGGGAGGGGGUGAGGCAGGGCAGGACAGUCUCCCUGACCCCAGCACAGCUGGCCCCCCAGGCCUGGUGGGGAAACAGGAGGGAGCUUGCCACUGGAGGGCCCUGGGGUGGGGGCUGAGCAGAGAGUCUCUCCCAGCCCCCAGGUCCUCACGCAGGAGGCAGCUGGGAACCACCCACGCUCAUCUGGCGUCUCUCACGCCUCCACUGGGGGUCCCAACAUCAGAGCCAAGGCACACAGUGGAGCCGGUGUUCCGGAGAGCCCAGCUGUCCCCACCCCACCCCAGCCUGGCUCCUCAGUUCCUCCAGCUGAGACCUCCCCGCCUGCCUCCAAGCAGGAGGGACUAAGGCUAGACUCUGAGGACUUGAGAGGCUUGGUGUGGGAGCCUGGAGGCGGAGCCCUGGGGAGCCAGAAGGGGCUGAGCUGCCGAUACUGAAGAAACUCCGGGCUGGGAAGGGCCCUCCGGGCAGAUGGCUAAUGCUGCCAGCUUUACCUGCAAAGUAAAUCCAGAAACCAGACUCACUCCGGCCAUCUCUCAACCUGAAAUGGCCCCUGCUCCCACCUUGCCCCCAACUCCUCAAAGUCUGUUCUUGACAUAAUAGCCCAAGGAAGCUGACCACAUAGAGGUCACACCCUCUCACUCUGCUCAAAGCCCCCACGACUUCCCAUCUCAUCUGGAAUAAAAAGCCUAAAGUCAUUAUCAUAGACCCCUAGGCUCUAGAUGGCCCCAAUGGCAGUUACCAUUCUAACUGCCACACCCCAAUCCCAACGUUUAAAAACACAUGUCUAAUAUCAACAUGAA